rnacentral:misc_RNA from 1 species
GAGGGAGACCUACCCAACUCAGGAACCGAAAGCAAACAGCGAAUAGAUAAUGAGAUGGUCUACUCUAGGUCGGUCGAGAUUGGUAAAAGCUUUCAAAGUAUUAUAUUCCGGUUUGAAAAAGGAAAAAAUUCAGCAACUAACAGAUGCUCGUUAGACUGCUGGAUGAUUCCAGCCAGAACCUUGAAAACUGCAUAGAAACGCGAUUUAUAGCAGGCAGACACAGACAUCUUGUAGAUGUUGAGUGAAAGCAGGUGAAACCAAUGAAAUGU